GCACCCUGGCAACGGGCAGAGACACCUCUUUGGUGUGGUGUUCUUGUAUCAGUCAGGGGCUAGCAGAUGGCAGUCCAUUGUUCAUCCUAGCUUGAUGCCUUGUUUGGUGGCCAAAGGUGUUUUAUGCCUAGGACUCAUUU